rnacentral:lncRNA from 1 species
GAUGGCAGGUCAUGGAUAAAUCAUCAAACUUCAACAUCUGUUAUAUGAUUGAUUUGAUCAUCUCAAGUUCAAUUAUGAUUUCUAUGAAAACUCUUUUUUAUCAAUCACACUGCUGUGGCCACAGACUCUUGAACUUAGCCUCUCAAAUUUCAUAGGACUACUCCUCUUUAUCAUGGUCGAUAGAUCCUAUCUUGAUGUGCACCCUACUUCUACAGUGGACCAACUAUCAUCAAUAUCCACUACAAAAGCUCAUUGAGACCUAUGUUUAUGUGUCAGUCAA